rnacentral:rRNA from 1 species
GACGAACGCUGGCGGCGUGCUUAACACAUGCAAGUCGAACGAAAGGACGGGAAGAGCUUGCUCUUUCCGGAAUUGAGUGGCAAACGGGUGAGUAACACGUAAACAACCUGCCUUCAGGAUGGGGACAACAGACGGAAACGACUGCUAAUACCGAAUAAGUUCCAAGAGCCGCAUGGCCCAUGGAAGAAAAAGGUGGCCUCUACCUGUAAGCUAUCGCCUGAAGAGGGGUUUGCGUCUGAUUAGCUGGUUGAGGGGUAACGGCCCACCAAGGCGACGAUCAGUAGCCGGUCUGAGAGGAUGAACGGCCACACUGGAACUGAGACACGGUCCAGACUCCUACGGGAGGCAGCAGUGGGGAAUCUUCCGGCAAAUGGGCGAAAGCCUGACGGAGCAACGCCGCGUGAACGAUGAA